rnacentral:lncRNA from 1 species
AAAAAAGGAGACAUGAGGUCUGCUAGAAAUACUAGCGGCCGGAUAUUUGACAUGGAUUGGACGAUUAAGCCCCAAUAACCCCAACUCAUCGACCAAUAAUCCCAAGUCUAUGAGCAAUGAGAGACAAGUUUCAUGGAAGCAUGUCUAAUUUUAGAGUGAAAACCUCCUUCUCUCUAACUUUUCUCUUGUUUCAGAAUUGAACUUGAUUCUUGUUGGAUCUAUGUUUUAAUCUUUGUUCAAUUAAUAAUCUGUUCUUUGGAUCGAUCUAUGUUUUUGAGCAAAUCUGUGCUUGUUCAUGGCAGGUAAGAAACUUAGGCAAAAGUUGGUGCUUAGCUCUAUUGGGAAUGCUAGUGUUGAGAAAAAAUCCUUUGAUUCCAAGAUCUUGCCUCAAAUCUGCUAUAUCAAGCUUAAAGAAUGUUGAUUUUGAUUUUUCUGAUCAAUUUAGCUCUUCAGAUGAAGUCAACGACCAAUAAUCCCAAGUCAGAUUAUGGGUUAAUUCGAUGCAGAGUAGCAACAUCAGCAGUUAUGGGUUACUUGAAUUAUUUGUUAAUUCGAUUCGAAAAGGAGCAACAUCAGCAUUUAUGGGUUAAUCGCAUUAUUUGUUAAUUCGAUUCGAAACGGAGAAGCAACAUCAACAAGUUGUUAGGAGAUUGAAGUAUGUAUAAAUUGAAGAGAGGGCAUAAUCGUCCAAAAUUGUUAAACACUCAGUCCGCUAGAAUGACUAGCGGACUAUGACAUGCCUUUUUAAAUUAGGAUAUUUGAUUAUUAUUAGGAAAGAUUAGGAUGUUAUUUGUCUAUUUUUUUAUACAUAGCAAAUAUAUAUUAUAUAUAUAUAUUAUAUUUUAUUAUUUGUGAUUUUUGUAGCCUCCAUUUAUUAUCUCCACUUAUAGUAGAAAGAAUUUGACGGUUGAAAAGUCUUUAACGUUA